AUUUCUUUGCGUCUAAAAAUGUUUUGAGAAUUUUUUUUGCCACGACUGCACCCUGAGACAAAGUCAGUGUUUGUCACAACGUUCACGUUGAACCUGGCAGGAAGACAGGCUGAGCCACGAAAGGUGGAUGGCUGGACCCGGAUUUGGGCACAAUUGUAACCCUAAGAUGGGUAACGGGGACUCAAUUGUUGGAAUGGUAUUGAAACCUUCCCUGGAGUACUUGUGCAUUUCUCGAAAGAAUAUAAAAUGAUGUAGCUGCCUUUUGAAAAUGUUUGGCAUCUAAUCAACUAAACAGAGUCACUACUGUAUGGCCCAGGAACCCCACUCCUGGGUAUUUAUCUAAAGGAAUAAAAACCUUGACUCCCCACAAAAAUCUCUACAUAACUGUUUAUAAAAGAAUUGUAACAGUAGCUCCAAAUCGACUUUGAAUAAAUAAAGAAAAUGUGGUCUACUUUUACAAUGGACUGUCACUUCAAAACAAGAAUGAAGUAUGGAUUCCCGAACUGCCAUCAGAGAGACCUUGGAUAGAUUGUACUCUGUGAAAGAAGUGGACUCAGAAGGUCACGCACUGUCUAAUCUGCUUUAUGUGAAAGGUCCAGACUAGGCAACUCUGCAGAUGCAGGAAGCAGGAAGCUGUGCCAGACCUGGGGGAAAGGUGUGAGAAGGAAGUGAAGUGAGUGUGAAUUGGCUGCUGCUGCUGAGUGACCAAGAUGUUCUGGAAUAGUGAUGACAUCUAAGCCCUGGAAUGAAUCAAAGCCCACCAGGGUGAAUUUUAUGGCCUGAGAAUUUCAUCUCAAUAAAACAUUUUUGUUUGUU
rnacentral:lncRNA from 1 species